GUGCUCAUUUCAGCAGCACAAACCUAACAUUGGACUGAUACAGAGAAAAUGAGCAUGCUGUCUGAACAAGGAUGACACACAAAUUCACCAGUCAUUUCCUAUUUUA